rnacentral:rRNA from 1 species
GCCCUCUGGGUCCACCUCCCACCCGUGUUUAUUUUACCUUGUUGCUUCGGCGGGCCCGCCUUAACUGGCCGCCGGGGGGCUUACGCCCCCGGGCCCGCGCCCGCCGAAGACACCCUCGAACUCUGUCUGAAGAUUGUAGUCUGAGUGAAAAUAUAAAUUAUUUAAAACUUUCAACAACGGAUCUCUUGGUUCCGGCAUCGAUGAAGAACGCAGCGAAAUGCGAUACGUAAUGUGAAUUGCAAAUUCAGUGAAUCAUCGAGUCUUUGAACGCACAUUGCGCCCCCUGGUAUUCCGGGGGGCAUGCCUGUCCGAGCGUCAUUGCUGCCCUCAAGCACGGCUUGUGUGUUGGGCCCCGUCCUCCGAUCCCGGGGGACGGGCCCGAAAGGCAGCGGCGGCACCGCGUCCGGUCCUCGAGCGUAUGGGGCUUUGUCACCCGCUCUGUAGGCCCGGCCGGCGCUUGCCGAUCAACCCAAAUUUUUAUCCAGGUUGACCUCGGAUCAGGUAGGGAUACCCGCUGAACUUAAGCAUAUCAAUAAGCGGAGGAA